rnacentral:lncRNA from 1 species
GUGUUUUGGCAUGAAAAGGAUGAAAUUGAUAGUUUAUGUACUACUUCUAACCCAAAAAAAAAUUUAAGUACCUAAGUAGGAAAAGUUGUGUAGUUUUAGAAGUGAUUUUGCAUUUAAACCUUAAACUAAAGAGCUUUUUGUUUAUUUUAUGCAUUCCGAACAAAAUGACAUUGUUUGGAUUCAAAAUAUUUCAAGUACCCCAUGAUCUCACAAUCCCAUAUAUUGUCUUCAUGUUGGAAUAUAAAGUAUAAUUUCUGUAAUACCCAAUUUUAAGCCCGGGCACAAAUAAAUAAACAUAAAAAACAGUCCAUUUUACAAAUAACCUAAAUUUAAAUGACCCAAUACCUAGCCCACUGACCUAAACCCUAGCCCAACUAUAGUGUGGCCCUCAGCAAAAACAAUACAGCAGAAACCCUAAGCAGUGACAGCAAACUGGCGCCGUAGUAACCACCCCCUGCAGCAACCGCCCCAACGUCGCCCCUGCACGUUGCGCACGUCGCCCCUCACCCACCAUGCACGUUCUUCCUGUAAACAAACCACGAACAGCAUUAGAAUGACUGAAAAUAUAGCAAAAAUGAAAAAGAUUAUUAUUUUUGCUUUCUCUGUAAAGAUUCGGCUAUAAAAAGCCAAAUGAUUUUUGUAAAAGGGUUACGAAAUUGGAUCCAAAAAAACUAUUGAAAAGAGAUUAGAGAGUAUUUUUUAAAGGUGGUUCAUCUUUUUUCCUUUCAUUUUUUCUUCGUACAUUUUCCUUUUUUUCCGUUUUAUUUUUUAUGAUAUUUUUACUUUUAAAAAAGAAAGAAACCCGUGAUACUUACUUGCUGCCGUUGAGAUCCUCUCCGUCGCAGUGAAGGACCGGAGUAGCGUCGGAGGCCGUAGUUUGGCCCAAUUGUUGGCGGUUUAGGGGAUGUGUUUUGAAAACCUUAGUAGAGAAAGCUAAGGUUGAUCUCUUUGUUUUUGAAGAAAAUGAAAUGGAAUGUCCUAUUAAAAGAAUUUUUUUGGUUUUAAUACUGUAGGCAAAACGGCACUGUAUAAGCCAGGUUUACCCGAUAAACCGUGUGACCCGAUCCAAAGCCCGAUCAGAUCACGUGUUUUAAACAUUAAUGGGAUGUUUAUGUUUUUAAUACUUUUCAUUUUUCCAUCAUUUCAAAACCAUGGUUUUUGUUUUCAAAUUUUUCCAUGAAAUGUUGAAAUUGUUUCAUUUUAAUCCAAUGCUGUGCAGCGUUUUGAAAGCGGGAUUAGUUUCCCUUUUUGGCCCUUCAUGUUACGCACAUUUUGCAAAUUAGUCCUCUAUUUUAAUUUGAUUUUGUUUUUUUUUCUUUUCAACUUUGUUUUGAUUAUAAUUUAAUUCGUUGUAUUUGUUUUACUAAUUAAGUUAAGUAUUAGUUUGUUAAUAUUAUUAUUGUUAUUAAGAUACUGUUAUUAUUGUUAUUGUAUUAUAUAUCACUAUUAUUUUUAAUAUUAUUGAUUAUUGUUAUGUUUAUUUAUAUUUUCACUUAUUUUUCAAGCAUAUAUAUAUAUAUCAUUUUACUACAUAUUACUUUAUUUUAGAAUUACUUAGUAUAUAAUUUUAUUUCAAGGUGUUUUAUGUAUUAAUUAUUUUAAAAUUAUUUUCAUAUAAUAUUUAUUUAAAUUUCUAUUGUCUAUUAAAUCGUUUUAUUAAACAUUUUUUAAACAUAUUUGUAUAUAUAUUUUUUAAAUGUUUGUUUUUAUUGAAACAUGAAAAUCAUCUUAUUUCGUAAAUUUUCAAAAAAUUUGGUAUUCAUGAUUCUCGAGAAGGAUUGUGUCCUAACUUAUUGGGCUUCAAUUCUAUUCGAUGAAUUUAGAUAGUCAAGUAUUUAUUUUGCAAUAAAAUUGUACAAAUUUCAAAUAAAAGCUUAUUCUCGGGAAUCCAAAAAUGUUGGGUCUUAACUCACUGGACAUGACAUUUUGUCAUCUCGAAAUAAGAAUUUCUAAGAAAAUAAAGGCAAUAUUCGGUAUUUGGAAUUUUGAGAAAUCGUUCCCUAACUUACUGGGUUUCGAUUUUUUUCAUUUGACCUAAAUAACCGAAUAUCCUUCUUAGGUUUAAAAGCAUGAGUGUUAAAAGUCAAAAGACAAACUUAAUUUUGAAGAUUAAAAAUGUUGCGCCCUAACUCACUGGGUGUGACGUUUUAAUUCUUUGAAAUAAGAAUGUUUUAUUAUUUUAAUUCAUUUAAGUUAAAAAGUUUUCUUUUAAAAUCUUUUUAAAUUUUCGACACCAAGACAUUAAACAAUCAAUUCGAUACCGAUUUUGGGCGUUACGAGGGUGCUAACCCUUCCUCGUACGUAACUGACUCCCAAACCUAUUUUUUUCAAAUUUCGCAGACCAGAAUCGUUUUUAAGGUGAUCUGAUCACACCUUAAUAAAUGAUCGAUGGCGACUCCAUUUCUGUUUUUAAAGUCAAUUCCCGUUUUCAAAAAAAUGUUUUCGAUAGCUUGGCGACUCCACUGGGGAUUAUAGAAAGUUUAGCCAUGAAUUGAUUAUUUUUUGUCUUUUUUGUUAAAAAUCAAAAAGUUGUUUUAAAUUGUGAUUUCCCCUUUGCAUUCAUUGGUUUUUAUCAUCAUAUGCUUGCUUGAUUGACCUAAGUCUGUUAGCUUAUUUGCAUUUUGCAUUUCUAAGUGGGAGUGAGAAGCUAGUCCUUCGUGAGGUUUUCACCUCCAUAUAGGAUAGUGGAUCGCUUUCGGGAUACAUCAGUACCUAUGCCUCCGUGAGAUCUACAUCUCCGUAUAGUCAUAGGGAAAUGUAUUCCCCUGAACUGAACUUGGUCCAUAUGAGCCUAUAAUGAGUGAGGAUCGAGGAAUCUGCUGGUUCAGGUACCUAUGCUCUAGAAGCCGAACCGCAUAUAGUGAACCUUAAGAACUCACCGUAGGUAGAAUUACUCUUAACCUUAGUAGACAUCUAAUUAGGAGUUUUUACUAUUUCUUGGUUGUAUUAUAUUUAAUUGAUACUGAAUUUUUGUGUUUUACUCUGAUUGCAUGGCAUUACAAUUACAUGGAAUUUUAUUAUAAAAAGGCGUUGGUUCGUAUUCAGUUGCUAGAUAGAAAUUUUAUCAUGAGAAAUGGGUUUCUUGAUAGAGUGGAGGAUAAUGCGGUUAUUUGAGCUUGGGCUGAGAUCACACAGUGCGAAAAAGGUGAUAGUUUGGCCGAGGGAUACGUAUCAGAAUUAUGGGACUUCACCCGUGUUAGCGUAACCCAGAACAACUUACAGGAGUUGAAGGAAAUUUGGGAGCAGUGGAAUAAUGAGGUUAGACAGUUAUUCUAUUCAAAUUAUGGGGAUUUGCCUUAUUUACUUGAUAUGAAGGUAGAUAAGCGUCUGUUUCGAGCUCUUGCCCAGUUUUGGAAUCCGGCCUAUAGUUGCUUCACAUUCGGGAAAGUUGAUUUGGUGCCUACAAUAGAAGAAUACAUGGCUUUACUUCGGUGUUUGAGGAUUCAAGUAGACAGAAUCUACUCGAAAAUGGUAAAUGUACCAACCUUUUUGAGGAAGCUGAUGAAUAUAACGGGAUGAAUGAGCAGUGGGUUAUAGCUCGGAUCAAGUAAAAGGGGGAUAGCAGGUGUAUUCCUUGGAAAAAUUUGAAGGACCUUGUAAUGGCCCAAAUUUGAGGUUAUCGGAACAGUGGUUUCGGAACCACAAAUCUGAUGAGAAAAAUUUUAUUUUUCUUAUAUUUUUAUGGUCUACAAUUUCACAAAAUGAUUUUUUGAAAAUUUUGUUCGAAAAUUUCGACGUUUGGGCACUCAAUUUAGUCAAAAGGACUAAAUUGUAAAAAGUGAAAAAGUUGAGUUCUACAUGUUAGAGGUGUCCAAUUGUUAUGAAACUUUAAAUUGGAGGUCCUUAUAUGGUAAUUAUACCAUUGGUAACUUGGUAGACAAAAAUGGACAUGAGAUAAGUGAAAUAGAAAAUUUUAAAGUUAGGGGCAAUUUGGUAAUCUAGUAAUUAAAAUGAAUUAAAAGGGAAAAAGAUGGCAAAAAUCAUCAUCUUCUUCAUAUGAACGAAAUCAGCAAGGGGGGAAGCCAUAGUUAGGGUUUUCAAGCUUCCAAGCUUCAUAGUAAGUGAUCUCAAGCCCCGUUUUUAAUGUUCUUUACGUUUUUGAUAUCCCGGUAGCUUAAUUUAGCUUAUUCUAGCAAUAAUUUAACCUAGGGUUUAUAUUUGGAAAAAUACCCAUAGGUGAAAAGUGUUUAUUUUGAUGUUUUAUGAUAGAAUAUGAAGCUAGAAAUUAUGUUAAACAACUUUUGCUAAGCGAUUUUAAGUGAAAACGAGUAAAACGACAUAAUCGGUAAAAAUACCUAAUGUUCAUAAGUACAUGUUAGAGUGGGAAUUUGAUGUUUCCAUAGAAGGGAAAAAUGUUCAGAAUGUUAUAAAACAUAAGAAUAAGAGAUGAAGUUUAAUUUCCGAGCCUUGGGGAAAAAAUGUAAUUAUGUAAAAGUUUAGGGGCAAAAUUGUAAUUUUGAAAAAGUUAGAGUCGAGGGCUGUUUUGAUGAAUGUGAUUAUUAAAUAAGUUAAAUUUACUAUUUUAGAUCAAGAAGUACGAAACUCGAGGUUAGACAAAGGGAAGAAUAAAGUUGAAGACUAAGUUGGUGAAUUUGGCUAUAAUUGGUACCGAGGUAAGUUUACGGUAAAUAAAUGCAAUAUUUCAAUAUUUAUUAUUAAUGCUGUUAAUUUCCAGCAAUUAUGAAUUUAUUUUAUGAAUUUAUUUGAUGAUGAUCCAAGCAUGAAAUGAUAGAGAAUUAAAAUUUAAAAGUCCCGUUGAUACAUAAGGAUGGUACUGGAUACGAAUGUCAUGACAUUUGGGUAAAGAGAUCCCAUGUAAGACCAUGUCUGGGACAUGGCAUUGGCAUCCUUAAGAUCAUGAGAGGUCCCCUGUAAGACCAUGUCUGAGACAUGGCAUGGGCACUGAGACGAGAGGUCCCAUGUAAGACCAUGUUUGGGACAUGGCGUUGGCACCGAGAUGAGAGGUCCCCUAUAAGACCAUGUCUGGGACAUGGCAUGGGCACCAUCACGAGAACAUCCCAUGUAAGACCAUGUCUGGGACAUGGCUUUAGCAUGUUAUUAUCAGAAGAGACCCGAGUAUCCUUAUUAUUCCAAUGUAGCUCAACGGGCUUGUAAACGAAUCAUGUUCAUGAAAGUUCAGUUUAAAGCAUAAAUGGCAAGCUCAGGUAAGUUGUAAGACUUAAGAACUUAUUAUACUAUCAAUUGAUGUUCAACGAUGCAGCAAGGAUUGAGUAAGUUAUGCACACAAGUAUUCUAAGUAAACAAGUAAGAGAACUAGUAUGAGAUUAACUAAAGAGUAAACUAGAGAUAUAGACAUUGAGUUUAAUUAUUUAAGUUAAAUAUUGUUAUUUAUUUGCUAGUAAACUUACUAAGCUUUAUGCUUACUUCUUUUAUUUCUCUUUCUCUUAUAGUAUUGCAAAGCUACUUCAAGGAUCCUAAAGAAGUCGGAGAUCGUCCAUACUAUCAACUACAACUGCUCGGUAUUUUAUAUCGAAACACGUUUGAGUUAUGGCAUGUAUAGGGAUUUAGUUAUUUUGUAUGUUUGUAAUGAUGAUUUUGCUAAUGAGUGAUGUGUAAGUAUUUGAUGAUGUAUGGUUAUUAAAAUGAUUAAGGAUGAAGGUGUUUGUUGUUAUGAAAGAUUAGGAGAUAAAUUAUGCAUGGAAAUCAUGAAAGGAUAAAAUUUUGCAAAGAAACAGAAUUCAGGCAGCACAGUGACGUGAAUUUGAAAAAUCUCCCAAGAUAGUAUAAAAUGAAUUAGAGGGUGAAUGAUAUAUGGAAUUAAAGCUUGUUGAGUCUAUUUUCAUGGAAAAAUAACGGUGUAGAAAAAGGAAAUUUAUAUUUUAAGAUAUGUGAAUUUUAGUAAGAUAGGGUCAGAACUGUUUUUGGAGUCCCCUGUUCUGAGUUUAGAAAAUAAUUACAAAUUGUACAAAAAUGGUUAUGAGUUGAAAUUUACAUGCUUAGAUUUCUUAAUGAGUCUAUUUUCUGUAGAAACAAGUAAUAACUUCAUAUGAAAAUCCUACAGUGAGAAAACUUAUUUUUAGUGACUAGAGGUCAGGGCAGUCAGGUGGUGAAACAGGGGAGACUUUAACUAAUAAACUGUACUAAUUUGCUGAACUAAAAAUUCUAAAAAUUUUAUGGUGAGUAGAUAUAUGAGUCUAGUUUCAGGGAAAAUUUACGGAAUUAAAUUUCGAGUUCUGUAGCUCAAGUUAUAAUUAAUUUAGUAACUGCUGCGCGAUUGGACAGAUUUGCUGCGAAUAAUGAAAUAAAUUUUCAAACCUAGUUUUUAUGCUCCGAAUUGGUAAGAUAAGCUAAGUAAUGCCUCGUGCUCGACUCCGGAAACGGUCUCGGGUAAGGGGUGUUACAGACCUCAUUCUAACGCACCCAGAUGUGAAGAAGAAGGUAGAUAUCUUUGCUUUAAGUAUAUAUGGUUUGGUUGUGUUCCUUAAGAUUUUGGGACAUGUGGACGAGGCGGUCACUGACUUAUUUGAUCGGCUUGAUAAGAGAGUUACACUAAUCCCAGUAUUUUUGGCAGAAACCUUCAGGUCACUGAAUGCAUGCCAGAGAGCUAGAGAGGGUAGAUUCGUUGGAUGUGCGCAGCUCCUACUUGCAUGGUUCCACAAUCACUUUUGGAAGGUUGAUAAAGUUUCGUAUCGGGUCUUCCCUAAAAGUUAUUCACCAUCGAAGGAGAUAGUGACUACACCAAGGACGGAUGACAUCUCAGAAGAGAAAUGGAUGGCAAUUUUUCAGAAUUUGUAAGAGGAGGAUAUCGAGUGAAGAGCUCCGUGGUUGCUUCCAAAUGAGGUCCUAUAUCGGUGUGGGGAUUUUGACUGGGUUCCUUUGCUUGGAAUUUGGGGAGCUGUUGGUUAUGCCCCAUUGCUAGUGCUAAGGCAAUACAGGACAAGGCAGUUUGUGCUCGCAACUCAGGGACUGGCCGAGUGUGAAUUCUCGUAUAAGGGUGAUGGUUACAAAAAGAAGGUUCGUGAGAUGGCCAAUACAUGGAAUCAAACUCACCGAAUGAAGGGAUUAGCUAUGGGUCUAAUGAAAACUUUCGAGUAUAGCGAAUGGUGGGUUAAGAGGAUCAACGAUAACGUCCCUGGGCCAAGUCAGGAAAAUAGUCAAUCGAUAGAGGAACACUUGCGGGUUGUCCCUUCUGAGCUGGAAAUCAUAAAGCAGGACUUUGAAAGAAGAAAUGCAGAAUUAGAGAAGAAAAUAGAGCAAAUGGAGGAAGAACAGAUGAAUUUGAGACUGGAUGUGGAUGUUCAGAGGCUUGAAGCUGAUAAACUAAAGAAGGGGAAGAAUAAGGCCGAAGAAGAACUAGAUAGCUUGAAGACGAAUUACAAGAAACUGCAUCUAUCAAUGAGAACUACCGGGCUUGGAAAAACUUCAAAGCAGUGGCGUGAAGAGAUUCGAGAAGAAAGAAACAAGUUAGACUCGUGGGAAAGAAAAUUUCAAGAGGUUCAAACACGAAGUGAAGCAUUAGAAAAGAGCUUGUCAGAGAGCCAAAAGGAAAAAGGCGAACUAAAAGAUAGAGUGGUUGAGUUAGAAGGGUCUCUUUGUCAACAUAGAACUCGAAAUUUUGUAGUAGAGCUAAAGGCAAGUCUAAGCAAGAUUGAAGAGAUGAAAAGUAAAAUAGAAGGGUUAGAAGCAGCGUUGUGAAAUUGUGAGGUUCGGAUUGAGAAUCUAGAGGCAAAGGAAGGUCGUCAGAAUGAGCAACUUCAUUAUUUCCAAAAUCAAGUUAGAAACAUGGAUCAUGUUAUGGGAGAAGCUGUGGUUCAGAUUCGAGAGGUAGCAGAUCACCUACAAGCUUUGGCAGAACAGGCCGAUACAUUGAGCGUGAAGUUUGAAUUAGAGUCAGACCGGGGACAAGAAUUGGCCUCGUUACUUAAGAAGAUUAAGGUCUUGGGUAUUAGGGCAAAGCCUUAUUUGUAGCCCAUUCUAUGUAAAGAGAUUUAUUUUCUAAUAAAGUUUUCUAAAAGUAAUUGAAAUUAGAAUUGACGCCUUUUUGCAUUCAUUUUCAUACAUCGCAUCAUAUGCAUUAAAAACUAUUAAAAGGUUCUAAUUAAUCAAAAUCAUUCCUCAGUUAACCUGGAAGCUAACCAGCCAACCCAACACCGUUACGGUACACGAGCGAAAUAAAAAAGUAUGGACCAAAGAUUAAAAAAACUCGAACAGUUCCAAAAAGAAAUGCAGGAUCAACUUCAGCAGCAAAUACAAGAGCAGCUCGAUAACAUCCAGUAGAAUAUGAUGGACAAAAUGAUGGAAUCUUAAGGGAGCAUGAUGACACAGUUAACGUGACUGUUGACUGAAGGAAAUGAUAAGGGAAAGAGCCCUAUGGAUAAUGUCGAACAGGAAUGUGAUGACGGACCCCUAUAUCCUCCAGGCUUUGCUCCUCUGCAUGCGCAGCCCCAAGCUGAAGUAUACCCAUGCAAAUCUUCUGUUACAAUUAGGCCUCAGCAGUUUCAGGUUGAUGCUUCGAGGUCAAUAAAUUACCAAGCCGGAUCGGGCUCUAUCCCUGAGAAUAAUCCUGUCAAUCCUGUUAUCCCCGAUUUCAAUGAGGCGAUUGAAAAAGAAAAAGUGAAAGAAGAAUUGCCAAAGUAAUUUGAGGAAAGGUGGAAGUGGGUUGAAGAGAAGUUCAAGGUAAUGGAAAGUACUGAGAGAUAUGGUAGGAUUGAUGCUAAGGAUUUUAGUUUGGUUCCAGACUUGGUGCUCCCUUACAAGUUCAAGAUGCCAGAGUUCGAGAAGUAUAAUGGGACCAGUUGCCCUGAAGCCCACAUCACCAUGUUUUGUAGGUGAAUGACUGGAUAUGUUAGUAAUGACCAACUUUUGAUACACUGCUUUUAGGAUAGCCUCACAGGGGCAGCAUCUAAAUGGUAUAAUCAAUUGAGUCGUGCUAGGAUUAGUUCCUGAAGGGAUUUGGUACAGGCUUUUAUGAAGCAAUACAGUCAUGUGUCAGAAAUGGUUCCCGAUAGAAUUACCUUGCAAAACAUAGAGAAGAAGUCGAUUGAAGGUUUCAGGCAGUACACUCAGAGAUGUAGGAAGGUUGCAGUUCAGGUCCAACCACCGCUCAUUGAAAGAGAAAUGACAAUGCUCUUUAUAAAUACACUGAAAGCCUUAUUCAUCACACAUAUGUUAGGACGUGCCACAAAAAGCUUUUCUCACAUAGUCAUGAGUGGUGAGAUGAUUGAAAGUGCUAUAAGGAGUGGGAAGAUUGAUGUUGGAGAGAAUAACAGAAGGCAAUCCUCAAAGAAAAAAGAAAGUGAGGUAAACAACGUGAAUAUAUAUAGCAAAUCGAUUACGGUGAAUCAGCCCAGAAAGGUAGUGGCUAAUCAACAGGGUUCAUCAAAACAGGAAUCUGGUACGAGGCCAAGUACUGAGAGGCCCCAAUUCACACCAAUUCCAAUGUUAUAUAAGGAGUUGUAUCAGAAUUUAUUCAACGCACACGUUGUUGCCCCUUUUUUACUUGACCCCUUUACAGCCUCCGUAUCCCAAAUGGUAUGAUGCGAAUGCACAAUGCGAUUACCAUGCAAGAAUUAUGGGACAUUCCAUAGAACAUUGUACAGCUUUUAAAAAGCUUGUUGAAAAGCUCAUCAGUAUGGGCGUUGUCAAGGUAAAUGAUGCAUCUGGUACAGGAAAUCUGUUACCCAAUCACACUGAUGCUAGGGUGAACAUGAUGAGUGAAAAUAUGGGGAGAAGGGUCAAGGAGAGCAUUGCUGAGGUAAAAAUCCCUUUAAAGUGGGUUUGGAAAAAAAUGGCGGGAAGAGGUUAAUUGUCUCGGAUUCAGAGGGAGGUGGUGAGACCCAAAAUCAUUGUGAGUUCUAUCAUGAGGUGAGACACGAAAUUUAGAGAUGUAAAGAAUUCAAAGCUCUGGUCCAGAGCAUGAUGGAUAAUAGAGAAGUGGAGUUUUUCGAAGAAGUGGAGGAAAAAGAAAGUAUAUGUGCAUCGGAGUUAAUGACGAGGGUUCUGAAAGUUAAUCAUCUUGUGAUUAUCAUCUCGCGCCCUAAGGUUAAUGAGGCUAGGGCACAGGUGAAACCGAAGAUUGUAAUUCAGAAGCCUAUAAAUUUUUCGUAUAAGGAUAUUAAAAAGGUCCCCUAGAAUUAUGAUUGCAAUAUAAAAAUCUCGGGAAAGGAAGCUUUGGUUAGUAUUGCAAAAGAAAGCCAAGAGACAAGUUCUUAUAUGCGUAGUGAGAAACACUACGAUUUGAUAAAUGCCCAAGCAGAAUUGGUGGAAGGGAAAAUUUUUACGACAGAACAAAAGAAGGAGAGUACAGUUGAAUCUAGGCCAUUGAUUAAUGAGCCAAUAAAGGAAUAAGAAGCCACUGAAUUCUUGAAAUUUUUGAAACACAGUGAGUAUAGUGUUGUAGAGCAGCUACAUAAGCAACCAGCUCGUAUAUCUAUGUUAGCGUUGCUCAUGAGUUUAGAGGUACAUCGAAAUACGCUGAUGAAGGUAUUGAACGAAACAUAUGUGGCUAAUGAUAUUUCUGUCAAAAAAUUGGAUCGGUUGGUCAGCAAUAUAAGCGCCGGUAAUUUUAUUUUCUUCAAUGAUGACGAAAUACAAUCUGGAGGUAUGGGGUCCACUAAAGCUCUGCACAUUACUACUCGGUGCAAAGGAUACAUGCUGCCUAGAGUUUUGAUUGAUAAUGGAUCCACAUUAAAUGUAUUGCUCUUAUCUACUCUCAAUAGGCUACCUGUAGAUAGCUCACAUAUAAAAACGUGUCAAAAUGUAGUAAGGGCAUUCGAUAGAACAGAAAAGAAGGUUAUGGGGAAAAUUGAGAUACCAUUACUGAUUGGCCCAAAUACUUAUGAAGUAGAUUUCAUUGUAAUGGAUAUCAAGCCUUCUCAUAACUGUUUGUUGGGGAGAUCUUGGAUACACUCGGCAGGGGUUGUACCUUCAUCGCUGCAUCAGAAGCUAAAGUUAUUGUCAAAGGGAUCGUUGGUGACAAUAAAUACCGAGGAGGGUAUUAUCGCGUCAAUAACCAAUAAUGUAACAUACGUGGAGACUAAUGAGGAGGCGGUGGAAUGUUCUUUUCGAUCUCUAGAGUUCAUGAAUGCAACAUUUAUUGCUGAGGGGAAUAGAAUCUCAGUGCCAAAGAUAUCCAAGACUACAAAAAUGGGUAUUCAAUUAAUGGCGGGAAGAUGAGUUGUAUCAGGAAGAGGAUUGGGACGACAUCUGGAGGGAGGAGUUGAGGCACUAGUGAUGAAAGAUAAGUUUGAUCGUUUUGGUCUAGGCUAUAGACCAGACAUAAAACAAAGGAGAAGGGAAAUAGAAAAAAGACGUAAAAGGAGAAAGGCACGCUUGAGUGGAAAUGAAGUUAAGUGGGAGCCUAUGGUUUUUCCUCACAUAUCCAUGACCUUUGUAUCAAGGGGGUUCAUUUUUUGUGAACAAAGAAUGCUUAAAGAGGAAGGUCUUGAAGAAAUGUUAGGAGAGGUUCAUAUCAAUGCCAUAGACACAAUUGAAAGAAAGGUAUUGCUAGAGAUUCGCCCUUACGAACCUGAAGUGAGCUGAAAAUUAGACUGCGGAAGAAAUUCCUGUAGUUUUUAGAGUUUGUUUAGAGUAAUUGUUUUAAACAUCCUUGUUGCUUUUGACUUAAAAAUAUAAAUUUCUUUAUAUGCAUAUGUUUAACGUUAUGAUUCUAAUAAAGUAAACUUUUUGUAUUCAUUUUUGAGCCAAUAGUCUUUUAUUCUUUUUGAGUAAUUAUUCUUUUAUUCUUUUUUUUCCACAUCAUUCAUAAUCAUAUUUAUUCAUAAAUUCAUAUAUUAUUUGUAUAUUCUUUGGCACCUACCAUAGGUUCCCAAAUAUCAAUGAUAUGAAUGACACUGCUUCAGACUCAGAAUCCCCUUUUGAGCAAGACAUGUGUUUAUAGGGAUCACAUGAUUUUGAAGAUGACUUAGACUGUGGUAUAUCUCCGGACUUAUUGAGAAUGGUAGAACAAGAGGAUAAGCAAAUCAUACCUCACAAGGAAUCAUUGGAGAUUGUGAGCCUGGAGGAGGGAAAUGAGGUAAAGAUCGGAACUGACAUUACCGCCAGGACAAGGCGAGACCACAUCGAAUUACUCCAUGAAUUCAAAUAUGUCUUUGCAUGGUCAUACCAGGAUAUGCCCGGGUUAAGCACUGAUAUUGUGGUACACCGUCUUCCUAUAAAAGAAGAUUGCAAGCCAGUUUAGCAGAAGCUCAGGAGAAUGAGGCCGAUAUUGUGCUAAAGAUAAAAGAAGUCAAAAAAUAGUUUGAUGCUGGGUUCUUGCAAGAAGUCAAAUAUUCAGAAUGGGUAGCCAACGUUGUCCCUGUCUCUAAAAAAGAUGGGAAUGUGCGAAUGUGUGUGGAUUACAGGGAUUUGAACAAGGCUAGUCCAAAAGUUAAUUUUCUGUUGCCUCACAUUGAUACUUUGGUGGAUAAUACGGUAGACUAUUCACUGUUUUCUUUCAUGGACGACUUUUCUAGAUACAAUCAAAUAAAGAUGCAUCUGAAAGACAUGAGAAAGACCACAUUCAUCACUUUGUAGGGAACGUUCUGUUAUAAAGUGAUCCUCUUUGGAUUGAAGAAUGCAGGAGCAACUUAUCAAAGAGCCAUGGUGACUUUGUUUCAUGACAUGAUGCACAAGGAGAUUGAGGUUUAUGUUGAUGAUAUGAUUGCAAAAUCCAGAACGGAAGAGAAGCAUGUUCAAGUUCUGAGGAAAUUGUUUUUGAGACUAAGAAAUUUCCAACUCAAGCUUAAUCCAACAAAGUGCACCUUUGGAGCCAGAUCAGGGAAGUUGCUGGGCUUCAUAGUUAGUGGAAGAAGAAUUGAGGUUAACCCAGACAAAGUCAGGGCAAUAUGAAAUUUACCUCCACCACACACUCAAAAAGAAGUACGAGGUUUUCUGGGAAGAUUGAAUUACAUUGCUCGGUUUAUUUCACAACUAACUGAGAAAUGUGACCCCAUAUUCCGUCUUCUGAAGAAGCAUAAUCCGGGUGUAUGGGAUGAAGAAUGUCAGAAGGCUUUUGACGAAAUAAAACAGUACUUGGCUAAUACUCCAAUGCUAUCACCGCCUAGUCCGGAUAGUCUAUUAAUACUGUAUUUAACAAUGUUUGACAAUUCCAUGGGGUGCGUGUUAGGUUAGCAUGAUGAGACCGGGCAAAAAGAAAGGGCAAUAUACAUCUCAGCAAGAAAUUCACUGAUUAUGAAGCGAGGUACUCGUCUAUCGAGAAGUUAUGUUGUGCCCUGGUUUGGACAACUCGGAGAUUACGGUAAUAUAUGUUGUAUCAUACGACUUGGUUGAUUUCAAAGUUAGACCCCUUAAAGUAUAUGAUGGACUCGACUACUUUGAAUGGAAGGAUGGCCAGAUGGCAGAUCUUGCUUUCUGAAUUUGACAUAAUGUAUGUGAGUCAAAAGGCCGUGAAGGGGAGCGCAAUAGCUGACUUUUUAGCUAGUAGAGCCUUGGAGGAUUAUGAGCCUUUGAACUUUGAUUUUCCAAAUAAGGAUUUGAUGUAUGUGGCAACCACUGAAGAAAAUCCCCAAAUGGAUCAUGUGUGGAAGCUAAGUUUUGAUGGAGCCUCGAAUGCUAUGGGUAACAGAACUGGGGCAGUCCUGGUGUUUUCAAGUGGAGAUUAUUAUCCUAUUGCUAGCAAAUUAGAUUUUGACUGUACGAAUAAUAUAGCAGAAUAUGAAGCAUGCAUUAUAGGCAUUCGUGCAGCCAUCGAACGUAAAAUCAAAGUGCUAAAAGUGUAUGGGGAUUCCGCAUUGGUGAUAUACCAACUCAAAGGAGAAUGGGAGACAAGAGACCCUAAACUGAUCAGUUAUCGAAAGAUAGUUCUUGGAUUGAUAGACAAGUUUGAUGACAUCACUUUCUGUUAUCUUCCGCGAGAUGAGAACCAAAUGGCUGAUGCGUUGGCCACCCUAGCCUCUAUGAUCCGAGUGAAAAAGUUAGAGGACAUGAAGCCUAUUCACAUAAGUAUUUCUAAAACCCCAGCCCAUUGCUAUAAUAUUGAGGAAGAGAAAAAAGAUGAACAUCUCUGGUAUCUGAAUAUAUUGUAAUAUGUAAAAAAUUGUGAGUAUCCAAAUCAGGCAACGGAGAAUGAUAAGAGGGCAUUGAGAAGAAUGGCCAUUGACUAUGUCCUAGAUGGAGAGGUCCUAUACCAAAAAGGGAAGGAUCAGAUACUCCUAAGAUGUGUGGAUGUAGUGGAAGCUAGAAAAAUUCAAGAGGAGGUCCAUGAGGCUAUCUGCGGCAUGCAUAAAAUCGGUUUCACAAUGGCCAGGCAGAUUAUGAGAUUUGGGUAUUACUGGUCCAAUAUGGAAAGAGAUUGCAUCAAUUAUACUAAGAAAUGCCAUAAAUGCCAAAUUUAUGGCGAUAAAAUGCAUGAACCUCCUUUACCUCUUCAUGUUAUGACUUCUCCAUGGCCUUUCUUUAUGUAGGGUAUGGAUGUCAUUGGGCCAAUAUCGCCAAAAGGCUUCUAAUGAGCAUCACUUCAUCUUUGUGGUUAUUGACUACUUUACCAAAUAGGUGGAAGCUGCUUCAUAUGCAAAUGUCAUGAAGUCAGCAGUUAGCAGAUUCUUGAAAAAGGAGAUCAUAUGUCGAUAUGGAAUGCCUGAGAGGAUCAUAUCCGAUAAUGCGUUGAAUUUGAACAAUAGUGCGAUAGUGGAGGUCUGCAGUCAAUUCAAGAUUAGACAUCAUAACUCGUCGCCAUAUUGCCUAAAAAUGAAUAGCGCAGUAGAAGCAGCCAAUAAGAAUAUCAAGAAAAUUGUGGGAAAGAUGACUGGGACUUACAAAGACUGGCAUGAGAAUUUACCAUUCGCCCUCUUUGCUUAUAGAAUGUCUGUCAGGACUUCGACCGGGGCAAGACCUUUCUCUCUGGUUUAUGGGAUGGAAGCAGUUUUGCCUAUUGAGGUAGAAAUUCCUUCUCUUCGGGUAUUGGCUGAGUUGAAAUUAGAUGAGGCAGAAUGGGUUCAAUCUCGUUAUGAUCAGUUGAACUUAAUAGAAGGAAAAAGGCUAAAGGCUAUUCAGCACGGUCAGAUGUAUCAAAGGCGAAUGAUGCAAGCCUACAAUAAAAAGGUUCGUCCCAGAGAAUUCCACGAGGGAGAGCUAGUUUUAAAAAAGAUCCUUCCUAUGCAAAGGGAUUUUAGAGGAAAAUGGAUGCCAAAUUGGGAAGGUCCAUAUGUUGUAAAGAAGGCCUUUUCAGGGGGAGCUUUGAUCUUGAGUGAGAUGGAUGGCAAAGAUUUUCCUAACUCUAUAAACUCAGAUUCGGUUAAAAAGAACUUUUCUUAAAAAAAUAAAAGGAAAAAAAGAAAAGAAAGAAAAGGAAGAGGCCAAGGUGAAAACCCACAAAUGGCACUUUGAGACCAAAGGGGAUUUGAGUUGAAAACACGAAAAAGGGCGGCUCAAAUGUUGAUCAAGUGAGGCAUCCGGUGAUUUUACUAUGAUUGAAUCAGUGGAAAAGGGGACGCGACAUCUUGGGGCAUCAACAGAGUACUGUUGGUCUUCUAGGCACAUGUCAAACUCAGAAUGGUCUUCUAAAAGUUUGCAUAGAGAAGUUCAAGCUGCGAUAUCUAGGGCGCCUAGCCUUCCCACUAUUUAUAUUAAAUUUGCUGUCUUGGAAUACUUUAUUCUUUUUCAAGAUACGUGUUUCUAAUCAAUUUUUUCUUUUAUUCUUAUUAUUCUUGAUGAUUUAUUUAUCUCGUAUUUUAUUUCCAAUGAAUUUCAUCUUGUCCAUUUCGAUACUCUUGUUCAAGCAUUUUCCAUUGAAACAAUGAUUAAUGGGCUAAUAAUACUUUUACAAAGGAAGUUUUGCAUAUUACUCUAGAAGUUUCUAAUAACAUAGGGACCUGAAACAGGGCCAUUGUUUAGAAUACACCAGGUGCAAGGGUUGAAAUGUCUAAAAAGGAAAAUUUUAAAGUAAGAUUAUCCUUUCGGAUUUUGUUGUCAAAACACUGACGGAACAAAACGGCAAAAUGGGGUGUUGGUGACAAAGCUUCAUUAAACAAAUAAGCAAUGAUCACCUUACGAUAAGAAGAGGUUUCCUCGGAGAAGGAAAUCCUUCAUUUGUGCAUAGGCAUUUGGUAUGACGCCCUGAUAAUGGUAUAAAGGACCAAAGUGCUUCACAUUGCGAUAAGAGACGAUUGAGAAAAGUCCUUUUUUUACGCUUGGGUUACAGUGAAAAGAUGAUAUAAAUUUUGUGUCCCAGUGGAUUAAACUUUGAAGUUUAUAGUGGGGGCAGUCUAAUUAAGUGUUUCUUCGGAGAUGUUAGCCAAGCAAGAAGUCGUUGUAGCACGUCAGUGAUGAAAUCUUAAUAAACUUUGAGUAAUGACAACCUAAGCGGGAUCAUUCUCGGAAAAAAUAAUAUUUUACAUUCAUUCAAAUAUCAUUCAUACACGUCUAGUUAAGAGCAUUUGAUUUAUUCUGAUCAUGACAUCCUAAUCACUAGGCAUAAGUAGGUUCAUAAAUUGAAUCAUACAGGUCAUGUUCCCAAGAGAACAAACUGGUGAAAUCUUAGCCUUAUCUCCCUGAGCAGUAGUGGAGUAAGUUGAAUAAAGUAGAUCUUGUCUUCCUAUAUUGGCAGCGAAGUAGAUCGAAGAUACUAGCCUUGUCUCCCUGAGCAGCAGUGGAGUAGGUUGAAAAUAGCAGAUCUUACCUUCUUGUACUGGCAGCGAAGCAUAUCGAAGACACCAGUCUUAUCGCCUUGACGUUGCAAAUUAAAGCUAAAGAUAGCGAAUCUUAUCUCCCUGGCGUUAAGACUUGGAUUAGCUGAAGUGGAGCGGAUUGAAGCUGUGGGCAGCGAAUCCUAUCUCUUUGGCAUUACAGUGGAAUAGAUUGAAGCCGCAACAGCAAAUCUUACUUCCUUGGCGGUGUAGGGGAACAGAUUAAAGUCACAACGACGAAUCUUGUUUCCCCGACAUUGUAGUUAAAUAGAUUGAAGCCACAACGUCAAAUUUUACUUCCCUGGUGGUGUAGGGGAAUAGAUUGAAGCUACGACGAUGAAUCUUAUUUCCCCGACAUUGCAGUUAAAUAAAUUGAAGCCACAAUGGCGAAUCUUACUUCCCUGGUGGUGUAAGGGAACAGAUUGAAGCUACGACGGUGAAUCUUGUUUCCCCGACAUUGUAGUUAAAUAGAUUGAAGUCACAACGGUGAAUCUUACUUCCCUGGUGGUGUAGUGGAACAGAUUGAAGCUACGACGGCGAAUCUUGUUUCCCUCACAUUGCAGUUAAACAGAUUGAAGAUGGUAAGUCUUAUCUCCCUGAAGUUGCAGUGGAGCAGAUUAAAGCCAAUGAUCCUAUCUCUCUGAAGUUGCAGUGGAGUGAGUUAAAACCUUAGAUCUUAUCUCUCUGAAGUUGCAGUAGAGCAGAUCACAUCCAAUCCUAUCUCCCUGAAGUUGCAGUGGAGCUGAUUAAAAUGAUGAAUCCUAUACCUCUGAAGUUGCAGUAGGUCGGAUUAAAUCCCCAUGACAAGUCUUAUUUCCCUGAAGUUGCAGUGGAGCAGACUAAAGUCACAAAUCUCAUCAUCUUGAAAUUACAACAAAGUAGAUUAAAGCUACAAGUCGUAUCUCCUUGAAGUUGCUGUAGAGCAGACUGAAGAUGGUGAAUCUUAUCCUCUUGAAGUUGCAUUGGGGCAGAUUGAAGCCAAGUCUCAUCUCCCUGAAGUUACAGUGGAGUAGAUUGAAGCACUAAUUCCUAUACUUCUGAAGACGCAGUAGGUUGGAAUGAGGCUACUUGAAGAAGAAGAGCACCAAGGUCUAGCACAACCGGGCAAAAUUAGCCAUUUUAAAGUAUUUGCUCUGUUCCCGUUACACGACAACGAGCAAAGAGUGGCAGCUGUAAUACCAAAUUUUAAGCCCGGGCCCAAAUAAAUAAACAUAAAAAAUAGUCCAUUUUACAAAUAACCUAAAUCCAAAUGACCCAAUACCUAGCCCACUAACCUAAACCCUAUCCCAACUACAGUGUGGCCCUCAACAAAAACAAUACAGCAGAAACCCUAAGCAGUGGCAGCAAACUGGCGCCGCAGUAACCACCCCUGCAACAACCGCCCC